rnacentral:lncRNA from 1 species
GAAUGAACAAACAAACGAAUGAACAAAAAAAAAAGAAUUAAUAAAUAAUUUAAUAUAUAUAUGCGUUUAUACAUACAUACAUAUUUUUACAAACACACAUGUAUGGCAAUUUUUAAAAUUCCUGUAAAAAAAUGGAACAAGUGAAAAUAUUGUAUCUCCAUAUAACUGAUGAUAAAAGAACUAAAAGAAUUCGAAGCAUGCUAGAAGAUAAUUAUGGGAAAGACAAUGUAAUAUGUUGUAAAGACGAAAAUUUAAAAACAGAUUUAAUAAUUGUAUUUUUAGUAUACUUUAUUUGUGUGAGUUUUGUUGUACUUAUAACAUUUUUUUGUUAUUAUUUUAAUAGUUUUAUUUAUACUUUUAUUUUUCCAUUGCUUAUUAUUUAUAUGGUGAUUUUUUUUAUUGGAUCAAUUAUAUUUAACGAAAUUAUAUAUUAUAAAUACUUAAAAAAAUCUAAUAAAUUGUAUGAAAAACAUAAACCUAAUGUAAUGGUUGGUUAUCAAGCUGGGUGUACUUUAGCUACACACCUAGAUGGACCCAAAGUACCGAUGUUGUUAAUAUCUCCAUUUAAGGAAAUUUUAAUCUCCAAAAAGCUAAGAAAAAAUGUAAAAAUAGAUGAAUAUCCAUAUAUAAUAUUUGUACAUUCUACUUUGGAUAAAAGUAGUUAUUUAAAACGGACAAAGCGAUUAUUAAAAUCCUUAGAUAAACAAAAAUAUAGAGUGGAAAUAAUAGAUGAGAGUUCCGGGUUAGAAUUAUUGACAAAUUCUGAAUACAAGGCAUGGGUUGAUGAAAUUUGUGCAUAUAACCCACAACAAUGUCCAAUCAAAUCAACAAAUAAUACUAGUAGUAGCAGUAGUAGUAGUAGUAGUCACAGUAGUUGUAGUGGUAGUAGUAGCAAUUGUCAUGCUGUGGAAGACAUUUUGAAUAAAACUAAUUCACAUAUAUAAAUUCAUAAGUUUAUUUUUCAUAUAUUGAUGUUGAGGAAGAGAUAUAUAUUUAUAUUACAUUUUUUUUU